rnacentral:snRNA from 1 species
GGGUGAUCUGGCCAUGACAUCUGUCACCCCACUGAUCGCCAGGAUUGAUUUGGCUUGCUAGGCCGGUGUUCCCUUCCAAUCUAUGUACAACCCUUCAUGCAUCUAAAGCUGCAAGGAGACUAUUUUCCCUGAACAGAGACAGUCAGUAAAAGGGAAACAGAUUUCUGCAUUUCCAUGCUAAACCCAAGAUUAUGGAAUUUAAAUUGUCGGCAAAUUUUAGUAUCAUAUUAAGUUUAGUUUAUGCAUACCA